GGACUACAAGGGUAUCUAAUCCUGUUUGCUCCCCACGCUUUCGCGCCUCAGCGUCAGUAUCGGUCCAGAGAGCCGCCUUCGCCACCGGUGUUCUUCCCAAUAUCUACGAAUUUCACCUCUACACUGGGAAUUCCACUCUCCUCUCCCGAUCUCUAGCCCGCCAGUCCCAAAUGCUAUUCCCAGGUUGAGCCCGGGGCUUUCACAUCUGACUUGACGAGCCGCCUGCGCGCCCUUUACGCCCAGUAAUUCCGAACAACGCUUGCCCCCUUCGUAUUACCGCGGCUGCUGGCAC
rnacentral:rRNA from 1 species